rnacentral:rRNA from 1 species
UUAGCUUGCUAAGUUUGAUGGCGACCGGCGCACGGGUGAGUAACACGUAUCCAACCUGCCGUCUACUCUUGGACAGCCUUCUGAAAGGAAGAUUAAUACAAGAUGGCAUCAUGAGUUCACAUGUUCACAUGAUUAAAGGUAUUCCGGUAGACGAUGGGGAUGCGUUCCAUUAGAUAGUAGGCGGGGUAACGGCCCACCUAGUCUUCGAUGGAUAGGGGUUCUGAGAGGACGAUCAGCCACAUUGGAACUGAGACACGGUCCAAACUCC